GAUGAAGAACGUAGCGAAAUGCGAUAAGUAAUGUGAAUUGCAGAAUUCAGUGAAUCAUCGAAUCUUUGAACGCACAUUGCGCCCGCCAGCAUUCUGGCGGGCAUGCCUGUUCGAGCGUCAUUUCAACCCUCGAGCCCCCCCGGGGGCCUCGGUGUUGGGGGACGGCACACCAGCCGCCCCCGAAAUGCAGUGGCGACCCCGCCGCAGCCUCCCCUGCGUAGUAGCACACACCUCGCACCGGAGCGCGGAGGCGGUCACGCCGUAAAACGCCCAACUUUCUUAGAGUUGACCUCGGAUCAGGUAGGAAUACCCGCUGAACUUAAGCAUAUCAUAAGCGGAGA
rnacentral:misc_RNA from 1 species